rnacentral:lncRNA from 1 species
GGGUGCCUGUUAUGUGCCCGGCGCCAGCCCUGGGUGCCAUGGGAACACUGAAGAGAGACUGACAUGGAUGCUGCCGCCCUCGGGUACCUCCCAGGCUGCUGGAGGAGACAAGCCACGGACACAGCCACUAGUGCCACCUACAAAGUAACGAGUGCCUGCGGACUAGAUCGUGACACUACACCCUGCCACCAGCAGCCUGGCAGCCUCUUCCAGUGACAUUUUGGACCGUAAGUGGAUCAAGACGCAGCCUUGUCAGCCCCCACAUCUCAGGAUGCUCCAGGUGGGUAAUGGGCCUGGACAAAGAACAGGCACGUGCGAGAUGUGGCAGGGAGGGAAGGCACGCGCUCUCCCCGCACCUAAAAACCAUGCGACUUGGGCUUCCUGGGCCUCAG